GGGGUGACAGCAAUGGGAGAGGUGCGGCCUCAGCGUCUCCUCAGUAGCUCCAAGUUUGCAUCUCUUUCCGCAUGCAGACGUCCCCCUGCCCUCCCCCCCCAAAAAAACCAGCUCUGCCUAGGAAAUGGUUUUGAGGAAUUCUUGUACAAUACAAGUGUGCUGAACUUAUAGAGUGCUCCGUACAAGGAGCUCGCCUUAAUUCUGUUGAGAAAAGCCUAUGUUGUUCCCUGAAAGUUUGUAAUACAAUGCUUUUAAAAAUAGAUAUAACCUGUUUAACAAACUCAGCAGGAAAUGUGAAGAAGUGCAUCUCCUACUUUACUGGAGGUGCAUUCCACCUGGCCAACAGCACAGUGUGCCUCUGGAUAUGCUAAAGAAAACCCAAAGCAGAGAACAUGACACAGAAACCUUUAGCUCUGCUGGUGUAAUACCCUUCCCAAGACAGCAGAGCAGGGAUGAGAAGAAGAGAAGCUUCUGGAAAAGAGGGACUCAUUUCCCAAGUGGAUGCAGGAGCAAAGCUGCUAAGUGUGUGCUUCAGCUAAUAGGGGGGUGGCAGCAACCAGAGACAGCAGUCGAGGAAAUGUGAGAUUACUGGCAAAGGUCCUGGAGGAGGCAGAAAUAAGGUGCAGAAGAGCAUGAAUGAAGGGUGAUAACUUACCAUGUUCUUUUUACUUAGCCCUGCUUAGGUGCAGCCUAGCCCUCAACACAAAUUUGUCCCAGUUUCCAAUUUGGAGGAAGGGAAGACAGGUGAAGGUGAGCAUCUGCUUAUACCUUGCCACCAGUAUCUCUAUCUGCAAGGAAGCUCUUCCAUAUGCCCUGCUCCAGUUCCUCUCCCCAGUUCCUACAGCAGCUCCUUAUUCACUCAGGGAAGAGCUGUGGUAUGAAGAGGGCGUUGUGGUUUACUGUCCCAGGCCCCACUGAUUAUCAGGCACCAAUUGUCCCAGCUGGUGGCAUAGAAAGAUUUAAUUUAACUGAGAGCAUGAAAACCACAACCUGGAGCAAAGCAGCUUCUGUAGUGUGACCUAAUUUGAGAGCAAAUGGACUGGGAUCAAAAAAGGUCAUGGUGACAAAGUGGAGUUAAAAGCUGACUUAGAUCAACAUGCUCAAGCAAUUGAGAAACAAAGGGAAUAAGGAAAUAACAUGUGACAGAUUCAAAAAUCAAUAAACAGGUUGUGGUUAAUGUG